CCCGGGCCUUGUACACACCGCCCGUCAAGUCACGAAAGUUGGUAACACCCGAAGCCGGUGGCCUAACCCCUUGUGGGAGGGAGCCGUCGAAGGUGGGACUGGCGAUUGGGACUAAGUCGUAACAAGGUAGCCGUACCGGAAGGUGCGGCUGGAUCACCUCCUUUCUAAGGAG
rnacentral:rRNA from 1 species